rnacentral:rRNA from 1 species
GUAGUCCACGCCGUAAACGUUGGGCGCUAGAUGUGGGGACCAUUCCACGGUUUCCGUGUCGCAGCUAACGCAUUAAGCGCCCCGCCUGGGGAGUACGGCCGCAAGGCUAAAACUCAAAGGAAUUGACGGGGGCCCGCACAAGCGGCGGAGCAUGCGGAUUAAUUCGAUGCAACGCGAAGAACCUUACCAAGGCUUGACAUAUACGAGAACGGGCCAGAAAUGGUCAACUCUUUGGACACUCGUAUACAGGUGGUGCAUGGUUGUCGUCAGCUCGUGUCGUGAGAUGUUGGGUUAAGUCCCGCAACGAGCGCAACCCUCGUUCUAUGUUGCCAGCACGUAAUGGUGGGAAC